rnacentral:rRNA from 1 species
GUAGGAUAGAGGCCUACCAUGGUAAUAACGGGUAACGGGGUGUUAGGGCACGACACCGGAGAGGGAGCCUGAGAAACGGCUACCACAUCCAAGGAUGGCAGCAGGCGCGCAAAUUACCCAAUCCCAACACGGGGAGGUAGUGACAAGAAAUAACAAUACGGGGUUCUUUCGGAUCUCGUAAUUGGAAUGAGUACAAUUUAAAUCUCUUAACGAGGAACAAUUGGAGGGCAAGUCUGGUGCCAGCAGCCGCGGUAAUUCCAGCUCCAAUAGCGUAUAUUAAAGUUGUUGCAGUUAAAAAGCUCGUAGUUGAAUUUCGGGAUCAAAUAAUCGGUCGUGCCUCCGGUACGUACUGGUUUUAUUGGUUCCUCCCUUCUGACGAACCAUGAUGUCAUUAAUUUGAUGUGGUGGAGAAUCAGGACUGUUACCUUGAAAAAAUUAGAGUGUUUAAAGCAGGCUAACGCUUGAAUACAUUAGCAUGGAAUAAUGAAAUAGGACGUUCGACCCUAUUUUGUUGGUUUCUAGGAUCGACGUAAUGAUUAAUAGGGAUAGUUGGGGGCAUUAGUAUUCAAUUGUCAGAGGUGAAAUUCUUGGAUUUAUUGAAGACUAACUACUGCGAAAGCAUUUGCCAAGGAUGUUUUCAUUAAUCAAGAACGAAAGUUAGGGGAUCGAAGACGAUCAGAUACCGUCGUAGUCUUAACCAUAAACUAUGCCGACUAGGGAUCGGAUGAUGUUAAUUUUUUAAUGACUCAUUCGGCGCCUUACGGGAAACCAAA